rnacentral:rRNA from 1 species
UACGUAGGGGGCAAGCGUUGUCCGGAAUCAUUGGGCGUAAAGCGCGUGUAGGCGGCCAGAAAAGUCCGCUGUGAAAACUCGAGGCUCAACUUCGAGCUGUCGGUGGAAACUUUCUGGCUAGAGUCCGGAAGAGGAGAAUGGAAUUCCUGGUGUAGCGGUGAAAUGCGCAGAUAUCAGGAAGAACACCCGUGGCGAAGGCGGUUCUCUGGGACGGUACUGACGCUGAGACGCGAAGGCGUGGGGAGCGAACGGG